rnacentral:rRNA from 1 species
CCUACGGGGGGCAGCAGUGAGGAAUAUUGGUCAAUGGUCGGGAGACUGAACCAGCCAAGCCGCGUGAGGGAGGAAGGUACAGAGUAUCGUAAACCUCUUUUGUCAGGGAACAAAGGCGGGGACGUGUCCCCGGAUGAGUGUACCUGAAGAACAAGCAUCGGCUAACUCCGUACCAGCAGCCGCGGUAAUACGGAGGAUGCGAGCGUUAUCCGGAUUUAUUGGGUUUAAGGGGUGCGCAGGCGGUCUGUUAAGUCCGCGGUAAAAGCCCGGGGCUCAACCCCGGCCCGCCGUUGAAACUGGCAGUCUCGAGUUGGAGAGAAGUAGGCGGAAUGCGCGGUGUAGCGGUGAAAUGCAUAGAUAUCGCGCAGAACUCCGAUUGCGAAGGCAGCAUGCCGGCUCCACACUGACGCUGAGGCACGAAAGCGUGGGUAUCGAACAGGAUUAGAUACCCCAGUAGUC